rnacentral:lncRNA from 1 species
AAGCUUCAACACCCCACGGUCCCAAAUGGCUCACGCUGUCAGCCCAAGCCUUCUGGCAGAAUGAUAAGGACCAUACCGCCUGCCCCACGUACUCCCCAAAUUCUCCCUUGCUAAAGACACGGGAAGCCCAGCUCUAAGCCAACGCCAAGAGGGAUCACAUAAACCUUACGAAAGGCCCUUGCCGAAGAACCAAGAUGCUUGACUCACUCUCCUUAGGCACUGUAGACCCAGAAGGCCUAAAAAAAUAUUCCACAAACAACACCCUUGCCGAACGGCAAGGGCUAUGCAGAACCUAGGAAGGCGCUCGAAAAUUGUAUAGCCUCAAUGAUCUUGCCUAAAGCCUCCUUCGAAACCAGUCUUGCCGAAGCUCCUUG